UCUGCAACUCGACUCCAUGAAGCUGGAAUUGCUAGUAAUCGCAGGUCAGCUAAACUGCGGUGAAUACGUUCUCAAGUCUUGUACUCAC
rnacentral:rRNA from 1 species